rnacentral:rRNA from 1 species
GACGAACGCUGGCGGCGUGCUUAACACAUGCAAGUCGAACGGAAAGGCCCUGCUUUUGUGGGGUGCUCGAGUGGCGAACGGGUGAGUAACACGUGAGUAACCUGCCCUUGACUUUGGGAUAACUUCAGGAAACUGGGGCUAAUACCGGAUAGGAGCUCCUGCUGCAUGGUGGGCGUUGGAAAGUUUCGGCGGUGGGGGAUGGACUCGCGGCUUAUCAGCUUGUUGGUGGGGUAGUGGCUUACCAAGGCUGUGACGGGUAGCCGGCCUGAGAGGGUGACCGGCGACAUUGGGACUGAGAUACGGCCCAGACUCCUACGGGCGGCAGCAGUGGAGAAUAUUGCACAACGGGCGCAAGCCUGAUGUGGCAACGCCGCGUGCGGGAUGCCGGCUUUUGGGUUGUGAACCGCUUUCGAAUGUGACGAAGAGUGCGUGACGGUAAUGGGUCAAGAAGCACCGGCUAACUACGUG